rnacentral:rRNA from 1 species
GACAGAGGAUGCAAGCGUUAUCCGGAAUUAUUGGGCGUAAAGCGUCUGCAGGUGGCUUUUCAAGUCCGCCGUCAAAUCCCAGGGCUCAACCCUGGACAGGCGGUGGAAACUACCAAGCUGGAGUACGGUAGGGGCAGAGGGAAUUUCCGGUGGAGCGGUGAAAUGCAUUGAGAUCGGAAAGAACACCAACGGUGAAAGCACUCUGCUGGGCCGACACUGACACUGAGAGACGAAAGCUAGGGGAGCGAAUGGG